CCUGAUCAGGGAGUAUCGGCUGCGGGUGCGCAAGGCGUCCAGGAGUGACCUGGGGCUGUGGAGAGCGACCCGUGGCCUUGUGUUUCAGGUACGGAGGUUCCGGACUGGACGGGCGUCAGGAAGUCACAGACUUGUCCUCUGAUGUGGCCCCGCCCGCCGCCGCACUAAUCUCUUCGGCGUCGUACCCGUCGGCCCAGCUCGACCCGCCGCAGCCCCGGCCCCGACCGUGGACACUGGGGGUCCCCGAGGGCGCUGCGACCUCCUCCCGGGUGAAAUGAAACCCGAGGGCAGUCCCCCUUACCGACCCCAUUAGAGACGUAUCUGCCGUGCCAGGGGUCUAGGCUCCAGAAACAGGGAGCUCAGCCGGUCUAUCAGUGUCGAUUUAGCAGAAAGCAAACGGCUUGGCUGUCUCCUGCUUUCCAGUUUCCAGUUCUCUAUUCAGAAACUUGAACCUUUCCUAAGGGACACUAAGGGCUUCAGUCUUGAAAGUUUUAGAGCCAAAGCAUCUUCUCUUUCUGAAGAAUUGAAACAUUUUGCAGACGGACUGGAAACUGAUGGAACUCUACAAAAAUGUUUUGAAGAUUCAAAUGGAAAAGCAUCAGAUUUUUCUUUGGAAGCAUCUGUGGCUGAGAUGAAGGAAUACAUAACAAAGUUUUCUUUAGAACGUCAGACUUGGGAUCAGCUCUUGCUUCACUACCAGCAGGAGGCUAAAGAGAUAUUGUCCAG
rnacentral:lncRNA from 1 species